UAUUCCCUGCCAGGUUCGUGAGAAGCCAUGUAAGAAAUUUUGAGCUAACCCCAAAAAAAGGGAACAUUACUCCGGGUAAUGUGUUGAAAGCCUCCCCGGGGAUUUUAAUUUAAUCCGUUUAAAUUAAAAUUCCUGGAAUGGGGGAAUCCUGAUUUACUCCGGGAUAGAGGAGUUCCCACAUGUCAUCUGAGUUCAAAGUAUCUCAGGUGCGCGGCUAUGGCGGGGAAUUU
rnacentral:other from 1 species